CUGAAGGACCCGGAUGUGAUUCCGCCGAGCAAUGGCGGCUGAGCGGAUCCGGGCUCCGUCCCACAUGUAAACAACACAUUAAGCGCUCUCCUUUGUUUAAGAAGAGCAAAACCAGCCGCGAUCAGGAGCAUGAGCUUAUCGCACAAGAAUCGACUCAUCUGAGCACCAAAAUGUCGAUGGAAGAUCCGUUUUUCGUGGUGAAAGGAGAGGUGCAGAAGGCUGUGAACACAGCUCAGGGGCUUCAUCAGAGAUGGAUGGAGCUGCUACAGGACCCGGGUGGAGCCAGCAAGGAGGAGGUGGACUGGACCACCAAUGAGCUGAGGAACAGUUUGAGGUCCAUUGAAUGGGACCUGGAGGACUUGGAUGAGACUAUCAGUAUUGUGGAGGCUAAUCCAAAGAAGUUCAAUCUCAAUGCGAUGGAGCUGGCCAAGAGGAAAGCCUUCAUCACUAGCACAAGGCAAACAGUCAGGGAGAUGAAAGACCACAUGGCUAGUCCGAUGGCAAUUACGGUGUCUGAGAGGAAAAAUCGACAGACUUUAAUGGGUGAUGGUGGGUCUCAUGGCCCAAUCUGGCAACCCAAUGCUGAUAAGUACACCAGACUAGACCGGGAGCUGCAGACGGCAAACUCACAGUUCAUCGAGGAACAACAGACCCAGCAACAGCUCAUAGCAGGACAGCAGGAUGAGCAGCUGGAGUUGGUAUCGGGAACUAUUGGUGUCUUGAAGAACAUGUCCCAAAGGAUCGGCCAAGAGCUGGAUGAGCAAGCUGUAAUGAUGGAUGAUUUUUCACAUGAGAUGGACAGCACUCAAUCCAGACUGGAUAACGUCAUGAAGAAGCUGGCUAAAGUUUCUCACAUGACCAGCGAUCGGCGACAGUGGUGCGCUAUCGGCAUUCUUCUGGCCAUCCUGUUUGUCGUGAUCAUCCUCUUCAUUGUUCUGUGAACAGCACUCCUCCGUCCUCUGCCUCUACUCCUGUGAACGGUCGCUCCAGCGAAGGGAGGCAGCAGGUGCAGGAUGCAGGUUCGGCGUUGGGCUCCUUUAUCCCGCAGUAAGUGGAGGGGACAGCUGAGCUCUCGUACCCGUGGGGAGGUGGAGGUGGGGGCGGGGAAAAGACACACUCCUCCGCCAGCUGAGCUCAUUAGCAUCGCUACACACAACAUCAACCCGCACUUGAGAGCAGCUAUCAUGUUUAUGAGAGUACAGAACGACUAUAAACCUACCCGGAAUCCUGUUAAACAGCUGUCACGGACAAUCGCGAAUUCACUUUUCUUCUAGUUAUCGUGACACAGCUAUGAAUAUUGGGUAAUGAAGGGUAUAAUUGCUUAAAGAUGAAGCCUGCAAAUGCAUAUAAGCAUCUAUAACGACAUGAAUGAGAUUGUGCAGCUUGGUUAGAAGAUUUUUUUUGUUAGUUUUGUAAGU